AACAGAUUGAGCAGCUACUCGAAGUUGAAUGAAGUAAAGAGACAUGGGGAAUUUUCUAUCCCUGUUCUUGAAUCGGUAAGCUCCGACUCCAACCGCUGUUAAAAAUCCAACGAUUCCUGUAACAUGAAACAAGAGUUGAGAUACAGUUCAUUUUCUUUGUUUCAUUUGAUAUUUCAAACAAUCAUGAAGCUUUUGUUUACGCACCGACUGCAAGGAAUGGAUUGUUAUUUGCUUUUCUGAAGAUCUUUGAUCCCAAACCCUCAUCUUCUAGAGAAAUGUCGUUAAUUUUAUUUUGAUCCAUGAUGAAAUGGUUUUCGUGCUCACCUGAAAUUGGAAGAAAUACAUUUUUCAGCUUUACAGAUAAAAAUUUUUUUCAUUUUGUUAUUCUCGAUUUGCUUCUCUCAAGAGAAUUGAUGAAGUACAAUCACAGGAAUAAGAAUAUCGAAUGAAAUCAAAUUUUUGCUGAAAUAGAUAAAUAUGUGAGAUUUUGGAAUUUCUCAAUUCCAUCUCAUUUCAUUAUAGAUUGACGGACCAUAAAAAAUUACAAUUCGACGCGAUUUAUAAUUCAAAUUACACACCGGAGUCAAAACUACUGUUAAAUUUAUUGAAUCGUUUUACUUGCUUGAUCACUAUUUGCUAAUAAUGAUUAUUACAUUUUUUAAAGUCAUUUUUGAGUUUGUAUAUUUGGGAACAUAGAUCGAAGUGCAGAUACUCAAUGACUCAGAAAGCUCAGUAACCAUUCGAUUUAUGUCUAUAUCAUGUCGGCCUACGUGUAUAUAAAAAAAUAUACAAGAAAACCUAACCUGUAAAUCUUAAGGCUUUCCAUGCACGCGAUCACAACGAUUACAUGGGUCAAAAGCUUUGUCACAAAUGAUGAUCAUUUAAAAAUCCCGAAAGUAUAUAUUCAAG